ACUCUAAAAUUUGACAAUGGAUGUGUAAAUUCAACAAUACCAACUACAUUUUCUACCAAGCACAACAGUCAUAUCAGAAUAUAUUUGGAUAAUUAAAUAUUUAUAGGAUACAACUUACUAAUUAAUGAUCAACUAUUAUUUUUGCAGUCUCUUUGCAUCAUUGAUAACAUCUUCAACCAUAUGGGUAGCCCACUCCUCCUUCACCUCAUCUAGCUUCUCUUUAGAGUAUGUAGAAUGUCUAUGGCGAGAAAAAUACUUCAAAUAUAAAAGUAACACAAAAUUGAGUCAGAAUUGAAUUACACUACAUUUUAUAUACCUAGCUAUAUGUAAAAAUAUGAAAUAAUAAUAAUAAUAAUUAAAAUAACGUACAUUAUCAGGAAUCUUAUUUGGAUAUUCCAUGAUAACUUCUUUCAUAAAUCUCAUGAUAAAAUAUCCGCAGUCAAUAGUAUUUCUUUGACGAGGACACCGUAAAAAAACACAUUUGCAAAGAUCAAUUUUAAUUUACACUACAUAACUAUUAUUUACAGUUUGUUAACUGAACCAUGUACUUAAAUUCACCCGUUAACCAAACUGCACCAUGGUUAUUUGUUACUCACAAAUUUUGCAGCACUCACCAUCAACCCCUUCCCCAAUACAACGAAAGUAAUAAACCACCCUCACUCACAGGUAUGUGGCUCACUCAUGGAAUCACGAAACAAUCCACUCUUACGGGCCUAUUUCAUCGAUUCAUUAAAAAAAUUUAACCCCACCCAAUAAUACACUUAACCAAAAUAAAAUAAAAAAUAAUAAUAAAAUAAUAGCUUCUCAAGCUAUGGCGGCGAGGCAGAGUAUUUGUUUUCCUUUUAUCAUCAAAGACCAGCUUCAGUUUAUCAAAAAAAAUAUUAAAAAAUCAAAGACCAGAUUCAUAUACAUGAGGUGUAGGGUACUGUAUUUGUUUUCGCUGAAACAAGGACCACUUUUACUUUUUAUAUUCGUUAAGUAAUGGUUCUGUUUGGUUAUUUUUAAUCUACAACUGGUUCAACAGUUUUUUCAACAGUUUAAAAAACUGUUCGGUUCAGUUCAAAUUAAAUGGUUGAUGGUUCAGUUCGGUUUUAAAGAAUUGAAAUACAGUUUGGUUCGGUUCACAUACAGUUUUGGUUAAAAACCAAACUUUGGCCANNNNNNNNNNNNNNNNNNNNNNNNNNNNNNNNNNNNNNNNNNUAUUUGAAUUAAUACUAUUCAAACUUUCCUGACUUUAUUCUAAUUCAUUGUUAGUUCAUACUUCAAUGACACUUAGGUGGGGUCUAGAGUGGGAUAAAGAUCAAAGGUAUGGUAAGCUUAUUUUUGAGUUGGAUGCUGGACUUGUUGUGAACAGCCUCCAUGGAAGAUUAAAUUUAGUUGAAUUAGAUCAUGUAAUUCAAGACUGUUUGGAUUUGUUGUCUAAAUCCAACUUCUAGAAUAUAUAUUUACUACUAUAAGGCAUCUAAUUUCAAUCAUAUACUAGUGUGGUUCAUCUUAGGAGAACUAUGAAUGCUGCUGCACAUGCCUUAGUUGGUAUAGCUUAGGCUUUAGAAAUUUAAACAAAAUUGCAAACCACCCCUAGAAAAACCAGUACACUAAUCACUGUAACAUAGUGGAAAAACCAGAUCUUUCCCAACGGCAAAAAAAACGCAGACCAGCACGAUUGCACAAACACCUUCAAUUCCGCAUCACCGACGCAUACACAUUACUUCCGCAUCGGCGAAUACAUAUUAUAGUAACGAUGGUCCUCUUGUUUUGGACUCAAUUAAACUACUCAGCCAUAAUAAUUAUAAUAAUAGUAAAUAAAGCAAUAUUCAUUAUUUUCAUUAUACUGGUGCAGGAAACAAUUAAUAAAGUAGUAACAAUAAAACGCACGCACUGUAGCAGNNNNNNNNNNNNNNNNNNNNNNNNNNNNNNNNNNNNNNNNNNNNNNNNNNNNNNNNNNNNNNCACGGUGCUGUAUCAAAAUAACAGGACGAUGAACAAUUUUGCAAAUUUAAUUUUCAAUUUUGCAAAUCAAUUUUCUAACUUAAAUCAAUUUGCAAAAUAAUAGGUCUUCUAACUUAAAUCAAUUUUUCAAAUUUAAUUUUCUCAGACAUCUAUAAUGUAAGCAUAUAACAUAACCAUACCUUAAUAACCACAGUUUGAGUUGUGACGGCACGACGAUGAACAAGUACGACUUCCAAAAAAUUGAAUUGCUGGGUAUAUGGUGGAGAGAAGAGGAUUUAUGGGUUAUGGGUUGGGCUCACAAUGAUUUCUGGGUUCUUGGAGAUUAGGGUUAACAGUUGGGUUCAAGCAAUUAGAUUGGAGGAAGAUGAACAGGAACAGUUUCUAUGGAUCGUGGAAAUAUUAGAGAUUUCUAUUGAAUUCGAUUUCCAAUAUUAGGGAUUUGAGGAUCGUGGAUUUGAGGAUCGUGGAUUAAGAUUUUUGCAAAGCAACUGAUCGUGGGAAAACAAAAU
rnacentral:lncRNA from 1 species